UCCUGGCUCAGGACGAACGCUGGCGGCGUGCCUAAUACAUGCAAGUCGAACGAACUCUGGUAAUGAUUGGUGCUUGCAUCAUGAAUUACAUUUGAGUGAGUGGCGAACUGGUGAGUAACACGUGGGAAACCUGCCCAGAAGCGGGGGAUAACACCUGGAAACAGAUGCUAAUACCGCAUAACAACUUGGACCGCAUGGUCCGAGUUUGAAAGAUGGCUUCGGCUAUCACUUUUGGAUGGUCCCGCGGCGUAUUAGCUAGAUGGUGAGGUAACGGCUCACCAUGGCAAUGAUACGUAGCCGACCUGAGAGGGUAAUCGGCCACAUUGGGACUGAGACACGGCCCAAACUCCUACGGGAGGCAGCAGUAGGGAAUCUUCCACAAUGGACGAAAGUCUGAUGGAGCAACGCCGCGUGAGUGAAGAAGGGUUUCGGCUCGUAAAACUCUGUUGUUAAAGAAGAACAUAUCUGAGAGUAACUGUUCAGGUAUUGACGGUAUUUAACCAGAAAGCCACGGCUAACUACGUGC
rnacentral:rRNA from 2 species